AGUGGCAGAGUGAGGGAAGGAAGGGGUGACUAGUGACAGAGUGAGGGAGGUGGUGACUGUCACUAGUCACCACCUCCCUCACUCUGUCACUAGUCACCACCUCCCUCACUCUGUCACUA